GAAUGACAAUCAGCUUAGCAGUUUUUAUAUAAGCUUAAGAUGUGUGCUCUAGUUUUGGACUGUGUAUUUUUUUUAAGGUAUUUGCUGUUGACCUCAAAACGUAUCAUUUCAACUUCUAGCCACUCAUUGUCAUAUGGAUAACCUUUCCAUAUGCCCGAUUGUUUAACUUCCUUAGCUCUCUGUUCGCAUCGCUGGUUUUUGUUGUGUCGCAUUUAUAUAUAACACUUAGGGCUCGUUUGGUUCGCGGGAAAAGAUGGGAGAAAAGUAUGGUCAACGGAAAAGUAAUGAGAUGCCUCUUGUUUGGUUGGAGUUUUCAAAGGAGAGAGACGGGAAAGUUGUAUUUCCAUGGGAAUAUGAUUUCCAAAAAAAUCCUUCAGCAUUAAAGAAGCAUUAAAGUGGCAUUAAAAACUUAAUUUUUAUUAAGGGUAUAAUAGGAAUUAUACAUAAAUUUUUCAGAAAAGUGGAUGGCCAAUCAAACAUAAAAUACUUUGGAAAUUUGUUACUUUUUCAUGGUUAAUCAAACAUGCCAAAAGUAAUUUUCUAGGUAUUCUCUUCGUAGAAAUUUGUUUUUCAGAAAUCAUAUUUCUAUGAGAAAAAAAGCUUUCUGCGAACCAAACGAGUCUUUAGGUUUAAACAUUUUGUAGUUCGUUAGACCAGGACUUAUUGGGGUAGGAAGGUAUAUGGCAUGAGGCAGUCAACUGCACUGCCCCCUGCUACACUAU
rnacentral:lncRNA from 1 species